rnacentral:rRNA from 1 species
AGUGAACGCUGGCGGCGUGCUUAACACAUGCAAGUCGAACGAGAACGGGUUAUAGCUUGCUAUAAUUGUCAGCUAAGUGGCGCACGGGUGAGUAAUGUAUAGGUAAUAUGCCUCUUACUAAGGGAUAACAAAUGGAAACGUUUGCUAAUACCUUAUACUCCUUAUUAACAGAAGUUAAUAAGGGAAAGAUUUAUUGGUAAGAGAUUAGCCUGUAUUGUAUCAGUUAGUUGGUGGGGUAAUGGCUUACCAAGACUAUGACACAUAACUGGUUUGAGAGGGUGACCAGUCACACUGGAACUGAGACACGGUCCAGACUCCUACGGGAGGCAGCAGUGGGGAAUAUUGCACAAUGGACGAAAGUCUGAUGCAGCAACGCCGCGUGGAGGAUGACACAUUUCGGUGCGUAAACUCCUUUUAUAUGAGAAGAUAAUGACGGUAUUAUAUGAAUAAGCACCGGCUAACUCCGUGCCAGCCGCCGCCGUAA